GCCCCCGUAGCUCAGGGGAAAGAGCACCCCUCCGGCGAAGGGGAGGCCGCGGGUUCGAAUCCCGCCGGGGGCA
rnacentral:tRNA from 1 species